UGCAGUCGACGGACGAGGCCCCUUCGGGGACUGAGUUAGUGGCGAACGGGUGAGUAACGCGUGAGGAACCUGCCUUUCAGUGGGGGACAACAGUUGGAAACGACUGCUAAUACCGCAUGAAGCAAUUGAACCGCAUGAUUUGAUUGCCAAAGAUUUAUUGCUGAAAGAUGGCCUCGCGUCUGAUUAGCUAGUUGGUGGGGUAACGGCCCACCAAGGCGACGAUCAGUAGCCGGUCUGAGAGGAUGAACGGCCACAUUGGGACUGAGAUACGGCCCAGACUCCUACGGGAGGCAGCAGUGGGGAAUAUUGGGCAAUGGGGGAAACCCUGACCCAGCAACGCCGCGUGAAGGAAGAAGGCUUUCGGGUUGUAAACUUCUUUUACCAGGGACGAAGAAAGUGACGGUACCUGGAGAAAAAGCCACGGCUAACUACGUGCCAGCAGCCGCGGUAAUACGUAGGUGGCAAGCGUUGUCCGGAUUACUGGGUGUAAGGGCGUGUAGGCGGAAAUUCAAGUCAGGAGUGAAAUCUAUGGCUUACCCAUAAACUGCUUUGAACUGA
rnacentral:rRNA from 1 species